rnacentral:rRNA from 1 species
GAUGAACGCUGGCGGCGUGCCUAAUACAUGCAAGUCGAGCGAACAGACGAGGAGCUUGCUCCUCUGACGUUAGCGGCGGACGGGUGAGUAACACGUGGAUAACCUACCUAUAAGACUGGGAUAACUUCGGGAAACCGGAGCUAAUACCGGAUAAUAUAUUGAACCGCAUGGUUCAAUAGUGAAAGACGGUUUUGCUGUCACUUAUAGAUGGAUCCGCGCCGCAUUAGCUAGUUGGUAAGGUAACGGCUUACCAAGGCAACGAUGCGUAGCCGACCUGAGAGGGUGAUCGGCCACACGGGAACUGAGACACGGUCCAGACUCCUACGGGAGGCAGCAGUAGGGAAUCUUCCGCAAUGGGCGAAAGCCUGACGGAGCAACGCCGCGUGAGUGAUGAAGGUCUUCGGAUCGUAAAACUCUGUUAUUAGAGAAGAACAAAUGUGUAAGUAACUAUGCACGUCUUGACGGUACCUAAUCAGAAAGCCACGGCUAACUACGUG